UGGGAACGCGAAGAACCUUACCUACUCUUGACAUCCAGAGAACUUAGCAGAGAUGCUUUGGUGCCUUCGGGAACUCUGAGACAGGUGCUGCAUGGCUGUCGUCAGCUCGUGUUGUGAAAUGUUGGGUUAAGUCCCGCAACGAGCGCAACCCUUAUCCUUUGUUGCCAGCGACUCGGUCGGGAACUCAAAGGAGACUGCCAGUGAUAAACUGGAGGAAGGUGGGGAUGACGUCAAGUCAUCAUGGCCCUUGCGAGUAGGGCUACACACGUGCUACAAUGGCAUAUACAAAGAGAAGCGACCUCGCGAGAGCAAGCGGACCUCAUAAAGUAUGUCGUAGUCCGGAUUGGAGUCUGCAACUCGACUCCAUGAAGUCGGAAUCGCUAGUAAUCGUGGAUCAGAAUGCCACGGUGAAUACGUUCCCGGGUCUUGUACACACCG
rnacentral:rRNA from 1 species